GCCAUGGGUUUAUAUGCAUUACGCAUAUUUUGGGCAGAAAAAAACAUGUAAGGAUGUGCAAGUCACUGACGUGAAUCAUUUUGUAGACUCCAGUGAAGUUGAUGAUUCAAGGAGCCAUUCUAGCCAAAUUAAUGAAUAGACGAUGAGAGAUGUUUCCCGUAAGAGCAGGGGGAUUUGGCUGACCUCUUGACUUUAAGUAACUUAGUGGGCCUUGCUGACGGUAUCUGGACUUCCACAGUGUGUUAAAUAUUAAAAGCACUUUGGAUAUGCCAAGUGCCAUAACUGUAAUCUAAACUCUAUUGGAUACGCCCGUCAUUAUCAUGUGCUACUUCAGCAAACCUCUGUAGACGCCAAGAUAAUCUAAAUAUAGGCCUACUUAUUUACAUGACUCAGGGUUGGACACUACACUGAAAGCGGUUUGCGAUGUGAGUCUAGAGCGCCCCCCUACGGCAGCAGUAUGCCAACUACAUAUAGGGGAAACAGUUUACAGUAAGCAUUCUUCACCAUUAUUCUACGGUAGGUUAAUUCAAUUGUUCGUAUUUCACCAACCAUCAUCUGUGCAUGCAAAAGAUAUACAUUUGUAUAUAAAUAUAUAAUAAGAUAUCAACUUGACUGGUCGUUCUGCAUUUGGAAUUAUAAAAAACUGUUAAGGUGAAAACAGGUCUUCUGCAGAAGAGAGAAAAACAAUCUUUAUCAUGCCUUAUUAAUUUGCCAUUUUGUACGCACUUGCUGGGUAGGCGCUGAGGUGCUAUAUCAACUGACGUAAUGCCCUGUCAAGUUAAUCAUUUAUGCAUUUAUGGCGUAUAUAACAGUCCCUCCUCUGCGAUGACGCAGUUCCAAGGAAAUCCCCGGAGUUGACAAGUGCGUUUGCCGUGUGCAAGAAAACACUUCCGACAAAGAGAGGCUUCAUUAUCGACACAAACAUAAAAAUAGCCUUACAGCGUAAGUUUUGAUCGAUUAGGUUUACCUCGACGACUCACUGGACCUUUAACUCUCAGGAUAUCAGCUCGGUUUACUUCAUUGUCGUGAGUAGGCAUCAACUCAACGUAACGUCGAGUUAAAGUAACUCCAUUUGCGGAAGUGAAGCUCCGAAGACUCCAAAACGGCGACUCGCGGAGUGAAGACAUCUUACGAAACGGAUAGGCCUAUAGAAAACACGCACCUUGCAGCGGAAAUGUACGGCAUUCCGGGGAUGCCCGAUCUUCUGCCGCCGAUAGGCUCUCUACAACCGAGUACCAUGGUCCUGUCCAACCACCUGAAUGGCCGUGCAGAUCAGAAUGCACCUCACCGCCAUCCGACUCAACAGAGGAAUGUUCAGCGGGCGCCCAAACUGGGGCAGAUUGGACGUUCAAAGAGAGUUGACCUGGGGGAUGAAGAUUUGGACAUCAUAAUGAACAACAACAACAGACGGUUCCCAAUUUCCAUGGAGGUGUCACCUGUUGCCUAAACGUGAAUGACUGUGCCAAAUCUUCCCAGAAGCCUUUAUCUUGUUAAAAAGGAGCCAAGCCUUGAUCCAUGGUCGUCGUUCAUCUCACUCACAUACUCCAUGGUAAAAUAAUCUAUUAUCGUCAUUAUCAGGGGAUGUAAGGCCAUUCGCUGUUACCACUUCACCGUUGUCUUCAUGUAAUUCACUUUAAAUACAACCACUUGGCUGCGGCAUGAGAUGGAAUGGCUUAUAUCUGAUCUGCAUUUCAAAAAAGAUGGUAUGGAGCGUCAGGGCUUUUAUCUUUUUUUUCUUUCGCACUUUACAAAAUACACGGAAGGGUCAUUCUCAACCGCACUGUCAGGGUUGCAUAUAGGCUAGGAGGUGACCAUCAUCGUGAUUCUGUUACUCAUUUAACAAGUUGGAUAUUAAUCUUUUAGUUUUCCUAACGUGUAAACUAGUUGCGGAGAGGUUCUCAAAAAAAGUUCUGGAAGAUUCUUUCUUUUGUAUCAGGUUCAUAAAGGUCACUUUAUAUGGAUAAUUCUUUCAGUAUGAUAAUGAAGUUUUUUUUUUUUUUUUUUAAACUAAUGUGCUCUCAAAGUAGUUGUCUGGUGACAUGAUUUGUGUCUGUAGUGUAUGUAUGAUGCAUUUUGACCUUUUUCAUGAAUCUUUGAAAUAUUUUUGCAUGGAAUAAUUUACAUUGUUUUGUAAAGUGCAAUUUUUGGAAAUAAACUAUGCAUGACUGUUGACAAAUGCAUCCUUUUAAAAGUA